UUCAAAGGAAAAACACUCACU
ensembl:piRNA 21ur-9429 ncRNA